rnacentral:rRNA from 1 species
AUUGAACGCUGGCGGCAGGCCUAACACAUGCAAGUCGAGCGAGCGGCGGACGGGUGAGUAAUGUCUGGGAAACUGCCUGAUGGAGGGGGAUAACUACUGGAAACGGUAGCUAAUACCGCAUACCAUCAGAUGUGCCCAGAUGGGAUUAGCUAGUAGGUGGGGUAACGGCUCACCUAGGCGACGAUCCCUGGCUGGACUGAGAGGAUGACCAGCCACACUGGAACUGGGACACGGUCCAGACUCCUACGGGAGGAAGCGGUGGGGAAUAUUGCCCAAUGGGGGCAAGCCUGAUGCAGCAAUGCCGCGUGUGUGAGGAAGGCCUUCGGGUUGUAAGGCCCUUUCAGCGGGGAGGCGUUACCCGCAGAAGAAGCACCGGCUAACUCCGUGCCAGCCGCCGCGGUAAUUC